UAAAUUGGCAGAGAUCUCUACCAACAGUGUAUUAAAAGGCCUGUUUUAUAGUAUCAUCAUUAGUUCCAGGUUUUGAAAAACUCCAGAACUUUGCCGUUAGCAAUCUUCCCAAACGGUAGGAUGUGUGUUGCCAUAGAUGAUAGAACGAUAGCACAAAUGUUCAAUAACACCUUCUAAUGGUUUCUGUCUUAGGAAAUCAGCAGGAAGAUGUUGGAAAUAUCCCUGUUGAUACUCAAUAUUCUGUCCUCAUUAUUGAAAGAAAAUACAAUGAGUCCACCAUUUUGAAGCAUAAGCCUGAAGUUGUUUUUCCACCUGAAUGACGAUUUUGAGCUUCAUCAGGUCAUAUAAUUUCUUCUGUUGAAGUCAAAUGUGUUCAUUUGUGAUAUGGCUUUUAAAGGUAGCUGAAACUCAACGUGUCCACAAUGAAUCUAUGUUUUUUUCUCAAAUAUGUUAAUCCUCCAAAUCUCCUUCAUCUUGGGGAAUGGCACCCUCAUCAUGCCCACCAUCAGCUGUCUCAGCCUAAAACCAGGCAGUUAUUUUUAAUUCCUCCUUUUCCCUCUUUGCCACUUUUUAGUCUAUAUAUAUCUGAUUAAAUCUACCUCCAAACAUGUCUCAAGUCUAAAUUCUUUCCAUUUGUACUAUCCCUUUGCUUAAAAAUCUCCAAUGGCUUGCUCUUGUCUUUAGAACCAAAUUCAUACUUUGUAAAAUGGCCUCCAAGCCUGUCUAUUAUUUUUUCCCACAUAAUUUCUCCACUAGUUCCCUCUAGUUGGAACAUGCUGGCCUUCUUUGUAUUUUGCAAAUAUGUCAAGAUUUUUCCAUCCUCCAGGGCUUUGGCUUGCCGUUCUGUCUACCAGCUUCAUUGUUUCCCUUGCUUUCUUCAUGACUGGCUUUCUCUCAUCAUUCAGGACACAGAUCAAAUGUCACAUCUUCAGAGAGGCUUUCUCUGACCACCCCAUCUACAAUGGGUCCUCCCCAUGUAGCACUUACCACUAGCUUAAGAAUAUUUUGUGCAUUUAUGUUUAAAUUGCUUGUCGCUUUCUCUUUCCUAAUCCUAGAAAUUAUGAUCUGUGAGAACAGGACCUUUUCUUGUUCACCUGUGUAUCUUCUGUGCCCAUAAUAGCAUUUGACACUCAGAAAGCACUCAAUACAUAUUUAAUGAAUAAUUUUGUUAGGCCCAGGCUUGUGGUCAUGGCACUCACGGAAGACCUAACUUUCCCACUUUUCUGUAAACACACUUGACACAAUGAGAAACUGGAAUCUGAGUGUGCUAACUUUGCUCAGCUAGCCCAGGCUUAAAUGCCUUUGUUAAACUUGUAUAGCAGGAAGGCAAAUUAGGUCUAGAAUCUAGAGCUCAUAUCCGUUUAUAACAGUCAAAUAACAGCAUUGUGAAGGUGAAACUAUUUGGGGGAUUUGACUGAAAAACAUGAAAGUUUUUUUGUUUUUAAUCAUUUUAAGCAUAAUUGGGUACUUUUUCAGAAUUCUUUUGGUUGUUUUCAUUGAAGUAUACGGUAUUAAGCAAUAGAGAAGUAUAUGCAGUAUACCGUAUAUGCAAUACGGAGUUAUUGCAUACGGUAAAAUCACAAAGUCUACAGGUCAGUAAAUUUGUAUAGACAAAUAAUGCCCUAUGUAGCCAUUGUAGAUCAAGAGAUAGAACAUUCCCAUCAUCCUUUCCUCAUUCCUCUUCUAUGUCAAUACCCACCUCCCAGAGGUAGUUGCUAUUCUGAUUUCUGUCACUGCAGAUUACAUUGUCCUGUUCUUGAGCUUCCUAUAAGUAGAAUCAUAAGUACCUACUGUUUGAGUCUGUCUUCUUUCACUUAACCCAAUGUCUGUGAGAUUCAUCCAUGUGUUAACUGCUAUGAGGUCCAUCCUCCUCUUUAUUUGCUAAUGGUAGCCUGGGAUUACUUUGGGUUCAUUCCAAAGCACAAUGUUAACUUUUGUACUUUAAGGUUCUUAAAAACCUGGAGUGCCAAUUUGGUGGCAGUCUCAUUUAAGGGCUUUGAAUGCCAUUCUUGUGGAAUGUAUCAGGAGAGUUGAGCUAGGUAAUUAUCUUAAUCCAACUGAAAUAGUUGGUCACAGUAUACAUUAGAUGAACAUCUUGAAUCAAACUUGAAUAUGCAGUCAACCUGAACAAAAUGAGCUCAGUCACAGAGGGCCAGAUUUCUUAAUUAGUUCUCAAUGGCAAGAACAUUUUAUGUUUCCAAAAGUCAAGUACAAAUUCUACAAGUGACACAAUUCAAGAAGACUUCAUAAGAGCGAAGUAAACAGGGCCUCCCACUGUCAUUGGCAGCAUCUGAAGCCAUAUUCAUUUAUUUCUCACUGUUAGUGCUCUUAGAAGCACCAACAUGCUAUAAUAAAAAAGUAAUGGUGAACUUUAUUGAGGUAUUAUUAAAUCAAGUAACACAGUGCAGCCCCUUCUGCUUGACCUUUGGCAGGCGGUUCUCGCCUUUUUUCUUUCUUCCUUUUCUCAUUCUCCCUCAUCCCAUUUCUGUCAAAAGAAGCAUAUUGUGUAUACAAAUCCAUCUUACUACAUCUUAUUCACUUAAUCCUUUUACACACAUGUAUUAUUUAAAAGUGGAAAGAAUUUUAAAAGGCAAGAAAUAAAAUAUAAAUAAUUUUUUUGUUUUUGUUUGGUUUUGCUUUAUUUGAUGUAGGAUAAAUUAUUUGUACUUUAGAGACUGUAUUUAUAAAUGUUAGGAACAGAAUGUGGUGGUACAAUGUGUUGACACUUUAAAAAAAAUUACUAUUCAUGCUAAUAAUGAAUGCAAGCCUCCCUUCCAAGGCUCAAAUCCACAUCUCUUGAAACUUCACUGGGGAAAUAAUAAUCUACCAGUAGUCAAUGCUGUAAGUUACCAAAUUUUUCCGUCUUCAUUUAUACCAGUGUCAGCCUCUCUUUCUAGGUUUACCUUCUCCCAGUCUUAUAUAGGUAAAUUGGGAAAUUGCUAUUAUCUGUGUUAGCAGGAUACCAUUAUAGCAACAGCAUCUCCUAUGCUUGAUAAAAGAAAAUACACACAUAAUCAAAGGAAAUUUAAUGAGUAUUACAUAUCUUUAAUUUCAUAGUUCUCUGAAGGUUUAGAAUAUUUUAGUACUUAGUUUUCAGCUUAUUGAAAUUUAGUUUUCAGUUUUUAGUCUUACAGUUUAAUUGAAUUGUGCGAAUGGUUUACAUUUCUCUUAUGGAUCUGAAAAGAUCCACUCCUCUCAUAUUCACAUGCUAAAUGACCCAAAUAGCUGGAUUUCCUCUUGCCUAAGUAUUGAAAACUAAUCAUUCUGGUAGAGAGUUUGAAACUCCAUGUAAAUAACAUUUUUAAUGAGAAACAAAAAAUUGUACUUAUAUUUUUUAUUAGCAUUUAUUUGGCAAUAUCCAGGAAAUCCUUUGGCAUUUAUUAGAAAAUAAUUAACAUUAUCUUGAGACAUUUUUUUCAUUGCAAAACAUCUUACUUUGAGAAACCAAAUAGCUCUUGACAGUGCUAAUACCUCUUCAUCCAGGUAGAAAUGUGAAUGAAAGAACUGAGCUCUGCCCAACUUAAUGGGUAACAGAAGAAAAAUAAUUAUAGGUAUCCAUUAAAAAUCACACUUAGUAUCUAGAAAAGAAAGUAGCAUGUCAAAAUAAAGCUGCAUGUUUCCCUUCUGAUCUAAUUUCAGCUUUUUCUCCUUGCCAUCUGGUUGGUAAAUGUGACUAUGUUUGAUAUCAUUUCACCUCUAAGCCUUCAAUUCAUGCCCAAUUUCCUACUCCCAGUUACUCCAGCCCUUCCCAGCAAAUCAUGCCUUUCACCCAUGAGGAACAGAUAAUCAAACCAGAAGAAAAUUGGUGGGCUGCUACUGGUUAAACUUGAACAAUACAAACAUCGAAAAGAAUAAGAAUUGUAAUUGGUUUAUACGACUUAAUAUAUAAAAAUCUAUAAUCCUAUAGUGAUGCAUUUUUAGUGAACAAUUUAAAAAAUCUCCUUCUUGCUACUAUUGGAGGUGACUUUAAAACCAUUUUCUUACUCUGAAAUAUGGUAAUUUAAGGGAAAGAUUCAAGCACAUAUCUUGCUUUUGCAGUAGAAACCAUCUUUGAGGGUAGCCACAGAACCCCCGAGAGAAUGUGCUAAUACAUUUAGAAGGAAUGAUGUAAAAUAUGUCAACAACAAGAAAAGCAGACUGUUAAUAAUUUUAAAACCUAGAAUAUAUUAGUUUAUGGUUAUAUGGGUGUUCAUUAUACAAUUAUCUCAUCUUUUCCAUAUGUUUGAAAUUUUUCGUAAUUAAAAAAAUUGCCACCAUGCCAACAAGCAGAAAAUAAAAUUAUAAAGAUGGUUACUUGAGUUAAAAAGACAAACUUUUAUAACACAUGCUUUCCGUAUUUCAAAACCUCAAUUAAAAUUACCAGCCUUAUUAUGAAAAGUUUCUGCAGGAGAUAGGGGAAGCAUGAAGGUUUAGGCAAAAUCAUCUCUUCCCCUAAUCCAGUAAAUCAAAUAACCAUGUUUCAAUAGGGAAGGAUGAGUAUAUCUUUAUAGAAUAAUAAACUCCCCAGAGCUCAAAAUAAUAAAAGAUUUCUCUUACUGGUAUUUUAAAGGUUUAUACCCAUCUAAUAAGAAUAUAAGACCAAACUCAGUGCCUGCAUUUUGUACCCUCUGCUUUGUCUGUAUCUGUAGCAGGAAUGAUGGACCCAGAAGUCUAGUGCCUUGCGCAGUGUUUGGCUAAAGGUAGCUAGACAUCCAGCAUUGUUUACCAACAUCCCAGUUUUCAACCCUAGUAGCCUUUCCUCUAAGAAAGCAGAAAAGAAGCCUCCUCCUCUCCAAGAGUAUCAGAGGAAAUGAAGAAAAUGUGGGAUAUAUGUUUAAAUAUAUACAUAUUUAAAGACUAUUGCAAGUGGAAAAGAUUAUAACAUUAAAAAACCACUCCUGGCCGGGCGCGGUGGCUCACGCCUGUAAUCCCAACACUUUGGGAGGCCGAGGCGGGCGGAUCACGAGGUCAGGAGAUCGAGACCAUCCUGGCUAAAACGGUGAAACCCCGUCUCUACUAAAAAUACAAAAAAUUAGCCGGGCGUAGUGGCGGGCGCCUGUAGUCCCAGCUACUUGGGAGGCUGAGGCAGGAGAAUGGCGUGAACCCGGGAGGCGGAGCUUGCAGUGAGCCGAGAUCCCGCCACUGCACUCCAGCCUGGGCGACAGAACGAGACUCCGUCUCAAAAAAAAAAAAAAAAAAAAAGAAAACCACUCCUCCUUAAUUCUUAUAUAGUCAACAUUGUUUAGUGAGUCCAAGAUUUACAUAGAAUACUAUAUUAGAUGCUCUAAUGGAAAUUUAGUUACAAAGGAAGUUUUAAUCAACUUUGUGAUUGAUUUGAAAGAUUUUUUUAUCAUAUUUCAGAGCUAUUGCAGUGGCAUUUUCUGAAUUUUCUAACCCCUUUAUAUCCUCAUUAAUGAAACAGUUAAAUUUACCCUGUAUUAUUUAACAAAUAAUUUAGGUGUUCUCCACCAGUAUAUAGUGUUUUCUUUGUCAUAUAUUACAUACUUACCAGUGACUGUGCCUUACUACUUUCUUCCGUGGAUCAGUCUCAUCAUAAUGUUUUAAUUAUUUGAGCUCUGUAACAUUUUAAUGCCUAAUAAAACAAGUAAUCCCUUUCUCUUUGUUUAUUCAUCCAGAUGAGAUUUAAAAUCAUUUUGAUGAUUUCUCUAAGAUUAUGUUGAGUUUCUAAAACUUGGUUUGUGUUAAAUCUGUUCAUUGAUUUGGAGACUGACAGAUAUAAAAGAUGUAAAACUUUUUUACAUGUUCAUAGCCUUCUAUGAAGAGUGUGGAAGAAUCACAACAAUGAAGAGAAGAUAUGUUUCUUGGGGAGCAUGUUCAAUCUAAUUCAAGUAGAUACAUGGAGUCGUGAAGAUAAAUUCUGAUCACACCGCAUUCUGGUCAUCAUUACCUAGUUGAAGAGGUUUAUUGGAGAAGAACUAUCAGUGUUUUAAAGCAGUGGUCUUCAAACGGGGGCACACAAAGACUUUCCAAGGGGGGUACAUAAAUAUAAAUAGUUUUAAGGUAA